rnacentral:rRNA from 1 species
CACGUAGGGUGCGAGCGUUGUCCGGAAUUAUUGGGCGUAAAGAGCUCGUAGGCGGUGUGUCGCGUCGGCCGUGAAAACCUGCAGCUUAACUGUGGGCUUGCGGUCGAUACGGGCAUCACUGGAGUUCGGCAGGGGAGACUGGGAUUCCUGGUGUAGCGGUGAAAUGCGCAGAUAUCAGGAGGAACACCGGUGGCGAAGGCGGGUCUCUGGGCCGAUACUGACGCUGAGGAGCGAAAGCGUGGGGAGCGAACAGG